rnacentral:rRNA from 1 species
UACGUAGGGCGCGAGCGUUGUCCGGAUUUAUUGGGCGUAAAGAGCUCGUAGGCGGUUUGUUGCGUCGGCUGUGAAAUCCCGAGGCUCAACCUCGGGUCUGCAGUCGAUACGAGCAAACUAGAGUGUUGCAGGGGAGACUGGAAUUCCUGGUGUAGCGGUGAAAUGCGCAGAUAUCAGGAGGAACACCGGUGGCGAAGGCGGGUCUCUGGGCCGAUACUGACGCUGAGGAGCGAAAGCGUGGGGAGCGAACAGG